AACAAAUAUAGAAAACAACUUAAAUACUAAAAUCACUCAGUAAAAUACUUAGAAAUAACGAGUUUUGACUCUGCAGUUGCUACGCGGGCGCAUUGAAUACGGAUCGCUAAAUCAACCAGUCACAGCGCUCGUAGUAUCUUACGCAACAGGACGGCUUGCUAUCAACAAGUCGACUUUACUCACGCUUCAAAAAGAGAACGAGUUGCCAUAAUUAGGGAGCUUACGCAACAGGUCGGCUGGAAGACUCAGAACGGUAGAAUGACGAAAACUAACAUGUCGCCCGAGAGUGUGCAUUCCCAAUCUUACGCGACAAUUUUUCGUCAUUGUGCCGGCUUGAGUCUUCCAGCCGCCCUGUUGCGUAAGCUCCCUAUUGACUCCAAGCGCUAAAUGGAGCGAGUGACGUGUAAGCAGCUGAUUGGUGAUCUCAAGCACGUGAAAAAGCAUCGUAAUUUUUCACGUGUGGAGAUACGGUUUUUCUCAGUAGUAGAAACCCCUAUAAAGCCCUCCAGUUUUUAUAAUAAAA